AGAGUUUGAUCCUGGCUCAGGAUGAACGCUGGCGGUAUGCGUAACACAUGCAAGUCGAACGGAGUAGAAAUACUUAGUGGCGGACGGGUGAGUAACGCGUGAGAAUCUGCCUUCAGGACGGAGACAACAGUUGGAAACGACUGCUAAGCCCCGAUGUACCGAAAGGGAAAAUAUUUAUAGCCUGAAGAUGAGCUCGCGUCCGAUUAGCUAGUUGGCGGAGUAAAAGCCCACCAAGGCGACGAUCGGUAGCUGGUCUGAGAGGACGAUCAGCCACACUGGGACUGAGACACGGCCCAGACUCCUACGGGAGGCAGCAGUGGGGAAUUUUCCGCAAUGGGCGAAAGCCUGACGGAGCAAGACCGCGUGGGGGAGGAAGGCUCUUGGGUCGUAAACCUCUUUUCUCAGGGAAGAACACAAUGACGGUACCUGAGGAAUAAGCAUCGGCUAACUCCGUGCCAGCAGCCGCGGUAAGACGGAGGAUGCAAGCGUUAUCCGGAAUGAUUGGGCGUAAAGCGUCCGCAGGUGGCAGUUCAAGUCUGCUGUCAAAGACCGGGGCUUAACUUCGGAAAGGCAGUGGAAACUGAACAGCUAGAGUAUGGUAGGGGCAGAGGGAAUUCCUGGUGUAGCGGUGAAAUGCGUAGAGAUCAGGAAGAACAUCGGUGGCGAAGGCGCUCUGCUGGACCAUAACUGACACUCAGGGACGAAAGCUAGGGGAGCGAAUGGGAUUAGAUACCCCCGUAGUCC
rnacentral:rRNA from 1 species